rnacentral:rRNA from 1 species
CGCGUAGGCGGACUUCCAAGUCGGAUGUGAAAACUAUCGGCUCAACUGAUAGCCUGCAUUCGAUACUGUUGGUCUUGAGUACAGGAGAGGAAAGCGGAAUUCCAGGUGUAGCGGUGAAAUGCGUAGAUAUCUGGAAGAACACCGGUAGCGAAGGCGGCUUUCUGGACUGAUACUGACGCUAAAGCGCGAAGGCUUGGGUAGCAAACAGGAUUAGAUACCCUGGUAGUCC